rnacentral:tRNA from 1 species
GCCUGGCUGGCUCAGUUGGUAGAGGAUGCGACUCUUACUCUCAGGGUUGUGAGUUCAAGCCCCACCUUGGGCA